UCACUUUAUUCACAUCCAUUAUAUGAAUAACAUAAGUUUUCUGUGUUUUUUUUUUUAAGAAGUAGAUAGCAAGCUAGCUGUUUCAUUCAUAUAGCAAGCUAUAUGUUUCAUUCAUAAAGCAAGAUGAAUUAAAUGUACAAGAUGAAGACAGUUGAGACCUCCGAGUCCAAAAAGAGGAGUACAGAAUAAGGUUGAAGUAAAAAAACUAAGAAUAAAAAUAAAAGAAGAGAGAGAGAG
rnacentral:lncRNA from 1 species